rnacentral:rRNA from 1 species
UACAGAGGGUGCGAGCGUUGUUCGGAAUUAUUGGGCGUAAAGGGCGCGUAGGCGGCGCCACAAGUCACCUGUGAAAACUCUGGGCUCAACCCAGAGCCUGCAGGCGAAACUGUGGUGCUGGAGUAUGGGAGAGGUGCGUGGAAUUCCCGGUGUAGCGGUGAAAUGCGUAGAUAUCGGGAAGAACACCCGUGGCGAAGGCGGCACUCUGGGACGGUACUGACGCUGAGACGCGAAAGCGUGGGGAGCGAACAGG